UUAUUUCUCGCAUGAGAAUAAAAGGAAAGGUCAGCCGAACUAAGAUGAGCUCGCGUUCUAUCAGCUAGUUGGUGAGGUAAAAGCUUACCAAGGCUACGACGGAUAGCUGGUCUGAGAGGACGAUCAGCCACACUGGGACUGAGACACGGCCCAGACUCCUACGGGAGGCUGCAGCAGGGAAUAUUGUGCAAUGAACGAAAGUUUGACACAGCGACACCGCGUGUGGGAUGACGGAUCUAGGUUUGUAAACCACUUUCAGGAGGGAAGAAAAUGACGGUACCUCCACAAGAAGCCCCGGCCAACUACGUGCCAGCAGCCGCGGUAAUACGUAGGGGGCGAGCGUUGUCCGGAUUUAUUGGGCGUAAAGAGCUCGUAGGCGGUUCAACAAGUCGGUCGUGAAAGUUCAGGGCUCAACCCUGAAAUGUCGAUCGAUACUGUUGUGACUAGGAUACGGUAGAGGUGAGUGGAAUUCCGAGUGUAGCGGUGAAAUGCGUAGAUAUUCGGAGGAACACCAAUUGCGAAGGCAGCUCACUGGGCCGCUAUCGACGCUGAGGAGCGAAAGCUAGGGGAGCAAACAGGAUUAGAUACCCUGGUAGUCCUAGCUGUAAACGAUGGAUACUAGACGUAGGAACUGGAUUGACGGUUUCUGUGUCGCAGCUAACGCGUUAAGUAUCCCGCCUGGGGAGUACGGUCGCAAGACUAAAACUCAAAGGAAUUGACGGGACCCCGCACAAGCGGCGGAGCAUGCGGCUUAAUUCGAUGAUACCCGUAGAACCUUACCUGGACUUGACAUAUAGGGUCAAGCUAUAGAGAUAUAGUGUGCAUUAGCGCCCUAUACAGGUGGUGCAUGGCUGUCGUCAGCUCGUGUCGUGAGAUGUUGGGU
rnacentral:rRNA from 1 species